rnacentral:rRNA from 1 species
AAGUCCCGCAACGAGCGCAACCCUUGCCCUUUAGUUACCAUCAUUUAGUUGGGGACGUCUAAGGGGACUGCCGGUGAUAAACCGGAGGAAGGUGGGGACGACGUCAAGUCAUCAUGGCCCUUAUGACCGGGGCUACACACGUACUACAAUGGUCGGUACAGACGGUCGCAAGCUCGCGAGAGUAAGCUAAUCCGAGAAAACCGAUCGUAGUCCGGAUCGCAGUCUGCAACUCGACUGCGUGAAGUCGGAAUCGCUAGUAAUCGCAAAUCAGAAUGUUGCGGUGAAUACGUUCCCGGGCCUU